rnacentral:tRNA from 1 species
AAGGGAGACCUAAUUCAAGUAGGAGACGAAAAAAAAGUAGUCGCUACCAAGAAUCAAUCCCAAAAGGUCGGAGCGAGGCGAAAUUGGCUUUCAAACUAGGUUCUGGGUUCACACAAGACCUGAAUCAGGAACAAGGGCUAUUAGCUCAGGUGGUUAGAGCGCACCCCUGAUAAGGGUGAGGUCCCUGGUUCGAGUCCAGGAUGGCCCACCUGUACAGGUGGCAAAAAGAAAGAAAAGAAGCGAGGGAUCAGCACCUUAUCUUACUGACAUAGUAAGAGAGAAUGCUGGCUCUGAGUAAAGAGUCCAGAGGAACCUUGAAAACUGCAUAGAGCUAGGUGAAAAAGCCAAAAAAGAAGACCGCAA